CAGACCUAGAAUGGCUGGCCAGUAAACUCCAGGUAUCUGUCUGUGUUCUUCCCAAGUGCUGGAGUUACAGAUAAAGGGCCUGGUGCCUUCCUUGUGGGCAAAGAACAUAUAAACCACAUGCUGUGCUGCUCCAAGGAUGAAGGGCCAAGAUAGAAUAUCUUGGUGGAACAGAGCUGCUCAACCUCAUGGUGACCUGGAAGCACAGGCAGGAAAGGACAAGUUACUCUUUGGUGACACAUUCCUGGUAUCCCACUUACUUACUCUAGCAAAGCCCCACCUCCUAAACUUUCCACUGCCUCCUCAGAUAGCACCGCCAGCUGGGGACAAAGCCUUCAAUCCAUGAGCCUGUGGAGACAUUUUGUAUUUAAACUCUAACAGCCAUGAUUGCCAGGUCACAGUCCAUCACAGAGGAGAGAUCAAGGCAUGAACUCAAAGCCACUAGUUACAUCAUAUCCACAGUCAAGAGAAGAAUGAAUAAAAUGGACACAUGGUUGCCUUUCAGCUGUUUCUGCUCAACCGGCACUCUUGCAUGAUGAAAUGGUGCUACAGACAUUCAGGGUGGAUCUUCCCACCUCAAAUAAUAAUCAAGACCUGUCCCUCAAAGACAUGUCCACUGAUCAACCCCAUCUAGACAGUUCCUCAACUGAGGAAAUUUUUCAGGUCAUUCUAGGUUGUGACAAGUUGUCAAUAAAAAGCAAGCCAUCACAGAUAGUAACCCCACUCAUGAGGAUCGCUUAGUCACCUCCCCAAAGACACACCCACCAAUACAAUCACCUCAGGGAUGAGCUUUUCAAUCAUAAACUUAAAUAUCCAGUCUUCUGUAUUACCCUUGUUGGUACCAUAGCCCCUUUCUUUAAUAUGCAAUAAGAUUUUUCUAACUGGGAUAUAUUUAUUGGGAGGAAAAGCUGCUAGAGAAGAGACAGGGUCACUCUUUCAGGAUUUCUGGAUACUGACCCCACCAGCCUUCCAAGAAUAGGCGUGGCUUUAGUAAUGCUAAGUUUCCUUCAGAGUCCCAGUCUGUCUAUAGCAUUUGAUUUAACAUCAGUUAAAUUUAAUACUGAUUGCUAUGACAAGUUAUUCAUGGCAGUGCAAACCUGAGGAUUCAAGAGUCAUAACAAAGUAAACCCCUGCCCCAGAUAAAAAAAAUUCCAUUUGCUUUCCCACUCCAUCUCUCCCCCAGCUCGACCAUCCUGUUCCCUCA